rnacentral:other from 1 species
AGCUCUCUAUAUAGCGCGUGAGAUAACUCGAUGUUUUUGUCUCAUUAGAGUGUUUUUUCGGGAGCCGUCGCUGACUGCGGAGUGCAUGCCUGGCGCGAUCAGGAAGCCAAAAGUGGUUAUAAUGGCGCCCACUUCGAUUUUUUCGGAAGAUAAAAACACGGUGUCUCACGGCACGUAAUGGAGAGCUU